rnacentral:rRNA from 1 species
GACGAACGCUGGCGGUGUGCUUAACACAUGCAAGUCGAACGGAAAGGCCCUGCUAUUGUGGGGUGAUCGAGUGGCGAACGGGUGAGUAACACGUGAGUAACCUGCCCUUCACUUUGGGAUAACUUCAGGAAACUGGGGCUAAUACCAGAUAGGAGACCCUGCUGCAUGGUAGGGGUUGGAAAGUUUCGGCUGUCGGGGAUGGACGCGCGGCUUAACAGAUGGUUGGUGGGGUAGUGGAUUCCCAAGGGAUUGACGGGUCGCCGGCCAGCGAGGGUGACCGGGCACAUUGCGACUGAGAUACGCCGCAGAGUCGAACGGGAGACAGCAGUGGCAAACCUUGCACAAUGGGCGCCAGCCUGGGACAGCAACGCCGCGUUCGGGAUGACGGCCUUCUGGUUGUAAAACGCAUUCGCCUGUGACGAAGCGUGACUGACGGUAAUCAGUUAAGAAGCACCGGCUAACUACGUG